UGUUCCAUGGUGUAAUGGUGAGCGCUCUGGACUUUGAAUCCAGUGAUCCGAGUUCAAGUCUCGGUGGAACCUA
rnacentral:tRNA from 1 species